rnacentral:rRNA from 1 species
AUUGAACGCUGGCGGCAGGACUAACACAUGCAAGUCGAGCGAGCGGCGGACAGGUGAGUAAUGUAUGGGGACUGCCCGAUAGAGGGGGAUAACUACUGGAAAAGGUAGCUAAUACAGAAUACUGUCGGAUCACGCAGAUGGGAUGAGCUAGUAGGUAAGGUAAUGGCUUACCUGGGCGACGAUACCUAGCGGGGCUGAGAGGAUGAUAAGCCACACUGGGACUUAGACACGGCCCAGACUCCUACGGAGGCAGCAGUGGGGAAUAUUGCACAAUGGGCGCAAGCCUGAUGCAGCCAUGCCGCGUGUAUGAAGAAGGCCCUAGGGUUGUAAAGUACUUUCAGUCGGGAGGCGUUACCGACAGAAGAAGCACCGGCUAACUCCGUGCCAGCAGCCGCGGUAAUUC